rnacentral:lncRNA from 1 species
GCAGUUAUGCCGUCAUUAUGGACAGCAAAUAGACAGAGUCCUCUGCAACCUUACUGCUGUGUUUGUGUCCCACCUGCAUGCGGACCACCACACGGGCUUGUUGAAUAUCUUGCUGCAGAGGGAGCAUGCGCUGGUAAGUGAGGCACCUGGCUGACACUGGUAAUUGCCUGCUUCAUUAUUGCCUGUUGUGCUGGUCUAUGACGAGAGUGAAAAUCACUGAAAGUGUGAAGAAAUGUCACGCAUGCCUGCUGGAUCUAAAAACAGGUUAGUGACUGAAACAUGGAGGGAUGUUCAAAGACGACUCUAACAUUUAUAUGUUCUCCCUACCCAGGGGAGCGUGGAACAUACUUUAGAAAGUUGGUCGUGAGACAGCAAGGACUUGGCCUUCCUUCCCUGGUGGCGAUCGUCAGACGUCUGCCCGAGGCAGCACAGGGACAUUACUGCCCGAAGCCUUCACCGAAACAAGACCAUGUGCCAAGCUCAGGGUUAAUAAAUCUAUUUUAAUAAC